rnacentral:rRNA from 1 species
CCUACGAGUGGCAGCAGUGAGGAAUAUUGGUCAAUGGCCGGAAGGCUGAACCAGCCAAGCCGCGUGAAGGACGAAGGUGCCAAGCAUUGUAAACUUCUUUUGUCAGGGGACAAAAUCAGGCUCGAGAGCCUGACCGAGGGUACUUGAAGAAAAAGCAUCGGCUAACUCCGUGCCAGCAGCCGCGGUAAUACGGAGGAUGCGCGCGUUAUCCGGAUUUAUUGGGAUUACAGGGUGCGUAGGCGGCCUGUUAAGUCAGCGGUAAAAGCCCGGGGCUAAACCCCGGCGCGCCGUUGACACUGGCAGUCUUGAGUUGGCGAGAGGUAUGCGGAAGGCGGAGUGUAGCGGUGAAA